AUUGAACGCUGGCGGCAGGCCUAACUCAUGCAAGUCGAGCGGAUGAAGGGAGCUUGCUCCUGGAUUCAGCGGCGGACGGGUGAGUAAUGCCUAGGAAUCUGCCUGGUAGUGGGGGAUAACGUCGGGAAACGGGCGCUAAUACCGCAUACGUCCUGAGGGGGAAAGUGGGGGAUCUUCGGACUUCACGCUAUCAGAUGAGCCUAGGUCGGAUUAGCUAGUUGGUGGGGUAAAGGCCUACCAAGGCGACGAUCCGUAACUGGUCUGAGAGGAUGAUCAGUCACACUGGAACUGAGACACGGUCCAGACUCCUACGGGAGGCAGCAGUGGGGAAUAUUGGACAAUGGGCGAAAGCCUGAUCCAGCCAUGCCGCGUGUGUGAAGAAGGUCUUCGGAUUGUAAAGCACUUUAAGUUGGGAGGAAGGGCAGUAAGUUAAUACCUUGCUGUUUUGACGUUACCAACAGAAUAAGCACCGGCUAACUUCGUG
rnacentral:rRNA from 1 species